GCAGUACCAUACAUGGCCACGUUAAGGUGGGGACAGUCCCCUGUGAGGAAAUUUCUAAAGGGGAUGGAAAAGGAUCCAGUUAACCUACAAAUGUCAGUGUUGUGAUAUGAGCCUCUGAUGAAGACUUGAGGAAAACGUCUAGGCACAGAGAAGACGGGGAAGAAAGCCUUGAAUUAACAGAUGGACAGAAGGGAGUCACACACCUACAGUGUGCAUAGAAAAGUGUGAAGCGUACAUCUUUUAAAACAGCACAACAGUCUGAUGGGCCGACAAAUCUUGGGGGUGCCUGCUGAAGUUUCAUGGAAUUGUCCUGGAUCUCCAGGAAGUGCGUAAAAUCUCAAGGCAAGCCACACUGGAAGAGGAAGUAUAACUUCUAUAUGUGAAACAACUUCAGAGACAAAACAGCUGUUUCUACCCAUUCCAGAGCUGAUGCUUUGGCUCCCCGGUUCAUUGCAAAGGUGUGUCUGUGUGUGCUCGGCUGAGCAGCAGUGGCGCUGAGCAUGGGAAAACUCUUUACGUGUCCUGCAUGCUGUCAUUGAGGAGGCACGUCCUGCUGGAAAUCGUAGCAAAACGUCUGCCCCCAUAUCUCUGGAUGUCCUGCCACCCAGCUAACUCAUAGUAGUUGGACCUCACCUGGGUUUGUUCCACCCGAUUUCCCACACCCUUGUAUCUACAACCAUUUGGACCAGAAGCAGUGCCCACGGUCCCUCCUGACCGUUGCUUGUCAGAUCCAGAAUGAGAGAAAUGCUGCUGACCAGGCUACUCAGACUUUGAAAGAGGCCAUGACCAGAAGCCACAAAGGAAACAGCCCAUGGUGGAGAUAGUCCAAGGAGUUUUGGAACCUGAGGGAAAAUGUGGCUGCCUCCGCCAUAAAGAUAGCAUAAAUUUUAUCUAUGGUGACUGGUGUUACCUCCAAAAUGAGAUUAUGAGUCUUGUAUAUAAAUGUAGUAGAAAUACAUGUAAUGGGAUAUUU